UGCCAGCCGCCGCGGUAAUACUUAGGUGGCGAGCGUUAAUCGGAUUUAUUGGGCGUAAAGCGCGUGUAGGCGGUUCGUUAAGUCUGAUGUGAAAGCCCGGGGCUCAACCCCGGAAGUGCAUUGGAAACUGGCGAACUUGAGUACGGGAGAGGAAAGUGGAAUUCCGAGUGUAGGGGUGAAAUCCGUAGAUAUUCGGAGGAACACCAGUGGCGAAGGCGGCUUUCUGGACCGAUACUGACGCUGAGAUGCGAAAGCGUGGGGAGCAAACAGGAUUAGAUA
rnacentral:rRNA from 1 species